CAUAGAUGAGUCACAAUGGGAGCCGCAGAGAGGAGACAGGCUCUCCUUCUGAGGCCCCAACUUCUUUCCCACCUGCUGGACACCAAAAGCCCUGGUAGGACCUUUCUUAGGGCCAUUCAAGAUGGAGAAACUGAGGACAAAGUGGUAGCAUCACCUCUUAUUUAAUGGUCUGCCCUUCUUGUCAUUGGAGGUGAGGUGGCUGUAAGGGCUCAGCGGCCAAGUCCAGGGACAUUCCCCCUGAAGACACUGGUCUGGCUGGUGCUGGCUCCUCUGAAGUUGACCUGCUUCUAAAGCUUUGCCUUUCUGGAAGAUGCUUCAAUGCACUUAGAGUGUCUUAACAGGAUGUUAAAUAUACCACUGCUCCCAUGUGAGAGCCUUUAAAAAUCUUUUGACAUUUUCCAGCAGAGUGCCUGAGUGCAAUCAUCAGGAAAAAACACAAGAAUGAUGAGAAAAAAAUUAUAAAUCACCCAUUGCAGGAGAAUCGGCUUGCCCUCCAGUUCUCCUUUCAUGGGCACCACGGUGAUCCUAUACUCUGUCCCAGGCUGCAGACCUGCAAACAAACAGCCAAGCGGUUUGAAGGACUGUCCUUUGUGAUGCAGAUAUCCAGCCUGCGGCAAAGGACAAGCCAAGAGCAGCAUGUGGCAGGCACAUACACUGCUCCCCACUCUGCAAACACUGGGAAUCCAAGAUGCCCUUUCAAGAUGGAACUCACAGAGUGGACCGCAGAAUGAGGCCCCAGAGGAGGACAUCACCAUGGAACCAAUAAGCCUCAGGGUCCCCUCCCCUGCAUGGGCCACUUCCAAGGGUAUUCACUUGGGUAUUCAUGAUUGUGUAUUAUUUCCCUUAAAGGAAGCUAAAUUCUAUAGCUUCAGGAGUCACAAAAUGUGAUCCCAACCACAUACACACACACACACACACACACACACACACACACACACACACUUCUUCCAAAAGGCAUGUCUGUGCCAGCAUACCCACCCUGAGACACAGACAGGGUUUUCCAAGAGCACACUGGGCUUAUAAUCGGUUCCCCGGGCGCUCUGAGAUUCCAGAGUCAGCUCUGGGAUGCUAGAGCACAGUCUGAAGGCCCACAGAAUGGGCUCUUAUCCAGGACUUUCAGGGUCAGAGUUCAAGUGAUUCCUUAGGGUCCCAGGACUUUCUGUGUACACUGUCCCCACCUCAGCAUCCACAGCAAACAUCUCACAUCCCCAGUGUUGGCUCUUACCAGUGAUGUCAUAUCGGCUCUUGGGGUCACUGCUCUUGGGCACGGUGACCUCGGCCACCUCCUGUCCUGUUAGGGGGCCAUACUGCAGCUUGUAGUAGUCUACCUCAGUCGGGGGGUUCUCCCAUUCCACAUCCAGAGAGUUCUCAGUCUCAUCUGUCACCCAUGCGGUGCCAAGCACAGCAAGAUCUAGGGCAGGGGCCAGAGAAAGCAAAAGAAAGCAGUGAAGGGCAGAGGUCCAGCAGGUCUGUAACAGGCCACUGGCUACCGGUCAGCGCCCUCUCAUGACACAUGACACACUGAGAACAUGCUUCAGCCCAGGACACCAUCCUUGACAGGUGUCUUAAAACUCCAUAGUAGCAAAAAAAACCUGUUGGCUCUCAUAUUACCCACAGAGGACAGACUAUCUUCUGCGAAAGCCUCCUCUCUCCCAUUCCAUCCCAUCCCAUCGGAUGCCAUGCUGCCCUCCCUGUCCAAGCUGCCAUGGGCCACGCCCUGGACCAUACCUCUCCAGCCAAUCCUCCAAACUGCCAGGCUCAGGGGUCAGGCUGCUCCGAAUGAAAUACACCCUUUAGCUGCAGAAUGCUGCCCUCAAAGACUCAACCCCAGUAUGAGAAGCACAGCUUCUCCCACGUAAAGUAUGGGAAACGCAUCUGAAAUUUUCUGGAGUAUGAUACUGAUAACAGGGACGCCUGGCUGGCUCAGUGGUUGAGCAUCUGCCUUUGGUUUAGGGUGUGAUCCCAGGGUUCCAGGAUCGAGUCCCGCAUCGAGUUCCUAGCAGGGAGCCUGCUUCUCCCUCUACCUAGGUCUCUGCCUCUCCGUGUGUCUCUCAUGAACAAAUAGAUAAUACAAUAAUACAACCAGUCUCUUCCUUUGUCUCCCAA